CAGAGUUCAGUGCCCUCGCGGGUAUAUCCUCCCACCCUUGCUUAUUCAUACCUUUGUUGCUUUGGCAGGCCCUGGCUCAUGCCGGACCACCGGCUCUCUGCUGGUGCAGUGCCUGCCAGAGGAUCCUCAAACUCUAGUUAUCAGUAUUGUCUGAGUACUAUACAAUCGUUA
rnacentral:misc_RNA from 1 species